GACUGCAGAAGAAAUUCACCUCAGCUGGAGCAGCAGCGGCAGCACAGGCAGCCUGUACAGCAUCUCUGUCAAGGAUGGAGAGGAGAUAAAUACAAGAACUACAAAUGAGACAGAAACUGUGAUUGAAAACCUGCUUCCUGGCCAUGUGUACACCAUUUCUGUGGCACUGUCAUCUUGUGCUGGGAGCAAUCCUGCUUCAGUCACUGUCCGAACAGAUUAUGGUUCCUGUUUCAAAGGGACUGAGUUGUGUUUAGCACAAAGUACUGGCUGUUCUGACUUGAAAGGCAUUGCAUGCUCCAAUAACCAAGCAUUUUCCUGCAGAGUUUGGUUCGAAAACGAGAAAUUUAAUAACACACUUUAUAACUCUGAUAGUGAAG